ensembl:lncRNA
GCACCUUCGAAUAUACUGAAUCUUUGGAAAAUAAAAAAGCUAAAUCACAAAAGUUGGCUUUCAAGGUCUCCAGUUUCUUUCCAAUAGACCUAGAGUCAUGAGUUAUAAUGGAAGCACCUGUCGGGUAAAACGGGUGGCAAUCCUUAAAACUCCAAGUGUAACAAGAACUUAAACUGUAAUUACAGGUGGUAAAGUUGACUUCCCACCUCAUACAUUUUCACUCUAACACAGGAUGGCCAAAUAAUAAUAUAAGCUGGCCAAGGUGAACAUUUGUAUCAUUAAAAAAAGAAAUGGAAGAGAAUUUGAGCCAAUUAAGCAUACAGGCUCUCACGUUCCUAAGUCAAGCUGACUUGAGGUUUGUUGUUUUUUGUUUUUUGUUUUUGACAAGGAAAUCUUACAGAUCUUCUGAAACGUGUUUUGAAUGAAGGUGAGAGACCUCAAGAGUCUUGUAACUUUACCCAAGCCUGGGUUCUGGGCUCAACUUUUUAAAAUGGGUGACGUGUGAACAGCUUCCUAAAAGCAAAUGGGACUAGGAUAUAAUUUAGGAAGUGAUGAUGCAAGUCUCUGGGGGACAGGGAGGAGGGGAGGUGAAAAAGUCAGAGGAAAUACCCUCCCGGUUCCUGGGGGCACCAACUCAAGACCAAGGAGGGAAGGAAGGACCGGCCUCCAAAAGCCGAGGAAAGGGGGCACCCCCAGCUCCAGCCGAAGGUCUCCUACACCCAAGCUCACUCUUCCUGUUCCACCUGGAGAACUGGUCUCCCUUUGGCAGCGGUAAACUUUUGGGAAUGUCCCUCCUCUCCUCCGCACCAGCAAUGGAGAGGGGGCAAGAGGGUAGUGUCUGGGUCAGAUUCCGUGCUCUUCUAUGCCUAUCGGUGUCCCCAGCCUUAGAGACACGAGUUCACUCCCUUUGCCGAAGCGAGGACAGCGUCUGUUCUUACUGGAGUGGACAUUUUGGUUUUCGGAGGGGAACUAUGGCCAAAUCAGUGAUGGAAAUUUGGGAAGUGACCACAAAGUUUGAGCCACUAAAAAAACGAGUCCUUUAGCGCUCAUUGUCUCUUAAUCCUGAACCCAUUCUAAGUUUCAGCCAGUCGUGAGCAGAAGGUAGUUAUUGAUGACUAAUUUCAACAAGGAGCAAAUUUCCACCAGAUCUGGAGAAAUGACCCAAAGCUGAGGCCCUUAUGGGCGAACUUCUCAGUCCCUGGGAGGCUUCCUGUCUCUUUUUUUUUUUUUUCCCUUGUUUUCUUUUCUCACAGUUCAGCAUGUUCACAGGCGGACUUGAAGACCAUUCACAGGGGCCUUGAACCCCUUUUCCUGGCACAGAGAGGAGGAGGGCUUGCCAGUUAACAACCACAAACCCUAUUGUAAACAGACGUUGCUUGCUGUCCCCUCCUGCCCCUCACCAAUUAAAGUUUUCUAAAUAGUCACAAUUAUUUUAAGUUCAAUGCUGCUGCUGCUAAGUCGCUUCAGUCGUGUCUGACUCUGUUGCGACCCCAUAGACGGCAGCCCACCAGGCUCCCCCGUCCCUGGGAUUCUCCAGGCAAGAACUGGAGUGGGUUGCCAUUUCCUUCUCCAGUGCAUGAAAGUGAAGUCGCUCAGUCGUGUCCGACAGCACUGAGCUCCCUCGCUCACAGCACUGGUAUGAAAUGCCCGUUUUGUUUGUGCAUGCUCUGUGGACUUAUUAAGGUUCUUGUUGCGUCUUCUGACUUCUAAUAAUCUGGGAGAGACAUCAGUGAGCGGGCCUGAAGAGAGAUCUUAGGGGCCCACCUACCUCCUAUCUUGUAAAUAGCAAGGAUCCCACUUGGUUUAGCAUUCCUCCUAAACAGGCUCUUACUGAUAAAAACAGUUAUUGCAAAAAUCAAACCACUUAAAGCCAAAGUACUCCCCAAAUGAAAUGGUGAUUUAUUUUGCUUAAUAUUUAGUUUCGACUUUGUGGAUUUUCACAAGACUUCAAUAAAUAUUUCUGUCAAAAGCCUAUAGAGUGGAUG